rnacentral:rRNA from 1 species
CCUACGGGUGGCAGCAGUGAGGAAUAUUGGUCAAUGGACGCAAGUCUGAACCAGCCAAGUCGCGUGCAGGAAGACUGCCCUACGAGUUGUAAACUGCUUUUGUACGAGGGUAAAUUCCGACACGUGUACCGUUUUGAAUGUACUUUAUGUAUAAGGAUCGGCUAACUCCGUGCCAGCAGCCGCGGUAAUACGGAGGAUCCAAGCGUUAUCCGGAUUUAUUGGGUUUAAAGGGUGCGUAGAUGGGUUGUUAAGUCAGUGGUGAAAGUCUGGGGCUCAACCCCUGCAUUGCCUUUGAUACUGGCAGGCUAGAGUAUAGUUGCGGUAGGCGGAAUGUGUGGUGUAGCGGUGAAAUGCAUAGAUAUCAUGCAGAACACCGAUUGCGAAGGCAGCUUACCAAACUGCGACUGACAUUGAGGCACGAAAGCGUGGGGAGCAAACAGGAUUAGAUACCCGGGUAGUC